UACGGGGGGGCAAGCGUUGUUCGGAAUUACUGGGCGUAAAGGGCUUGUAGGUGGCCAACUAAGUCAGACGUGAAAUCCCUCGGCUUAACCGGGGAACUGCGUCUGAUACUGGAUGGCUAGAGUGUGGGAGAGGGAUGCGGAAUUCCAGGUGUAGCGGUGAAAUGCGUAGAUAUCUGGAGGAACACCGGUGGCGAAGGCGGCAUCCUGGACCACGACUGACACUGAAAAGCGAAAGCCAGGGGAGCAAACGGG
rnacentral:rRNA from 1 species